UUUUGGUCACGCAAGUCAGUGUUAAACCACCAAAUUGACCCAACAAUGGUGUAUUUGAUGCACAAUCUCGUCCAGUCUCAAAUUCUGGAGGAUUUGAAGCUGCUGCAUGAUUUUUUACACACUUUGGUUGUAGUAGACUGCUGGAUUCAGCAAACUGUGUAUUCUUUUCAGUGUAUCUCUCUAUUUCCUUUAACUAUAUGUAGUGAUCAUACACUGUUGGGUACAUAAUAUUCUUCAGAUAAACAUCCCUGAAGGACUUAGAGGAAGGUCAUCCAGGGACUUUGAUGCAAAGAAAGUAGUUGAACACAAGUUCACACUUACUAUUUCUCAUUCUUUCCCAAAUAGUAGAUAGGACUUUGUUGCCACCAUUAACACUGGUGUCUCUUAAAUAAACGUCCUGACUAUAGUUUGAAAGUGAAAUUAUUGUCAGGUGGGGCAAUAAGUGUUCCUUCCGGCCCAAAGGAAUGGUCGAAGGUGAGCUUGCAGUGGCAGGGAAUGGACUCCGGUGAUUGGCUGGCACCUACAAACACUCCAAUACUCAAGUAAGUAAGAGAUUAAAGUGAUAGAGUAUCAGUAGACUCGAAAAGAACAUACCUUGGCUUUUGAUAGAGCUGGUUUAUAUGGAAGGAGGAGAGCUCUUCCUGCAUGCAUGUUUGCCUCGGGCAUUGCAGGGUGAUGGGACUGGAUAUCCGAUGUCGAUGGGGCUCCUUGACGGUGGCAUAGUGCUGACUGGACCUUCAUUAAAUGUGAAUGGGAUUUGCCAUUAAGGAUGGAAUCCUCAUUACUGGGGAUGAAAUCUCAUCCGCAUUUAAUGGCAGAUCACAUCCUCAUUAAUGGCAGAUCUCAUCCGCAUUUAAUGAAGGUUCUGUCGGCACCAUGCCACCAUCAGGAAGCCUUGUCGGCGCCGGAUAUCCAGUCCCAUCCCCCUGCAAUGCCCGAUGCAAACAUGCAUGCAGGAAGACCUCUCCUCCUUUUAUAUAAACUAUCUCUAUCAAGAGUUAAGAUAUGUUCUUUUCGAGUCUACUAAGACUCUGCCACUUUAAUCUCUUACUUACUUGAGCAUUGGAGUGCUUACAGGUGCUAGCCACCCCCCGUCAUGCCGAUCACCGGAGUCCAUUUCUUGCCACUGCAAGCUCACGUCCGACCAUCCCUUUGGGCCGAAAUGAACAAUAAGUAUGCAGUUAUUUUUCUUGGAAGUUCAUUUAAUGUAUGCCUAUGCAAGGGAAUCACUUUGCAAUCUGCAUCUCAUUCUUCUAGAAGAAACUGGAGGUACUCCAGUGGUUGUCAUAUUCACAUAUGGCUAUGGCCCACAAGUACCUGAAAUGGGGACCUGACAGGUUGAAGUUGAUUCUUGCUUACACAGCUUAUGGCAAUGGUCACUGAAUGCUACCUUGCAAACUGAGGUUGCUUUCUUCUUCAACUUGCACGUCUGUUAUUUCCUCUUACUAUUCCAAAUUGUGGAGUUUGUACAUGCAGGUUAUUGUUCAAAAACUCCGACAAGAAUUGUAGGUAUUGGUAUGUACUGAUUGAAACCAAGAAGGAUGCCUAACUAGAAAUAAUCAGAUAUAUUGGAUUAGAUAGAUGCAGAAAGUUGUGUAGAAAGCAUCGGCUAAGAAACCUCCAAGGAGAGCAAGGAGGAAGGCUGUGCCCAUGAAGUUGGUAACAAUGUUUGCUGAACUGGACGGAGAAAAAUGCAUGAAUUUUGUCAGAUAGAGUACAAGGUUACUUGCAUUGGCCAGCUGAGCAGCCUCAAAAACUCUCAACAUUGCCUGCAGUGGUGGAACCCAGUUUUAGCUUGAUGCUGUUUCCAACCUUGGAGAACUUGUUGCGGGGUCUUCUGGAAUGGCCUCUUAUCAUGUAAUUGUGGCAAUUCCAAGUGGAGCCUACCCAGAAACCUUCAGUGGCUGAUAUGGAGGAAGAGAGUUGAUUGGCAGCCAGGCAGGGCUUGCUCACUAUUCCAGAUUGGUGCACAAUCCUGGAACAGCACAGGAAAGGGAUUGAUUUCCAGCACCCAGAAAACAAGAGAAAGAUAGAGAGAGGCAGGCAGUGACUUGUGUGAAUGUAAAGCCCUGCAAGAAUUGUGGCCCUGGCUCAACACACUGGUCUCCCGUGUCUCGCUCUCAAGCUUGGGCUCCACAAAUUCUGGUAUCUCAUGGCUUUCUUUGACUUAACCAAAUUGGUGCAUUGGUUUGAGAUUCCUUCGCUUUGAAAUAAAUAAUUAAGUUGAGUUAUGUUUUUAAAAAUUUAUUGCUACACUAAUAUGAUAAUUAUUCUUUAUCCAUGUUUCCUCGAGUUUUCUGAUACUUAACAGAAAGAAGAAACAAAUUCAUG